GCCCUGGUAGAUCAAGGUAGAUCGUCCCUUACCUGUGAUUUCGCCAUUCUUUCCUGUAUGCGGGGAAGACGGAGGUUCGAAUCCUCCCCCGGGCA